rnacentral:misc_RNA from 1 species
UUUCCGUAGGUGAACCUGCGGAAGGAUCAUUAUCGAGUUGAGGGUCGCCCUCGCGCGCCCGAACCUCCCAACCCUGUGUCUACCACACCUUGUCGUUGCUUCGGCGGACCGGCCGCGCGUUUCGUGACCAACUGGUCGCACGCCGGCCGCCGGGGGCCCUUCGUGCCCCUGGAGAGCGUCCGCCGAUGGCCCAACCACACAAACUCUUGUACCGAAACGUGUCGUCUGAACGAAAACAAGUGAUUGUAUAAUCAAACACAAAACUUUCAACAACGGAUCUCUUGGUUCUG